AACGCGAAGAACCUUACCCGGGCUUGAACUACUCGUAGUAGGCCGAUAGAAACAUUGGCCGAUCCGCAAGGAAGCGAGCAGAGGUGCUGCAUGGUUGUCGUCAGCUCGUGUCGUGAGAUGUUGGGUUAAGUCCCGCAACGAGCGCAACCCCCAUUCGAUGUUGCUAAUCCCGCAAGGGAUGCACUCUUCGAAAACUGCCUUCGAUAAGAAGGAGGAAGGUGGGGAUGACGUCAAAUCCUCAUGGCCCUUAUGUCCGGGGCUACACACGUGCUACAAUGGCCGGUACAACGGGAAGCAAUACCGCAAGGUGGAGCAAAACCCUUAAAGCCGGCCCCAGUUCAGAUCGUGGGCUGCAACUCGCCCACGUGAAGGCGGAAUCGCUAGUAAUCGCUGAUCAGCAGGCAGCGGUGAAUACGUUCCCGGGCCUUGUA
rnacentral:rRNA from 1 species